CGACCGUGAUGCGGCUCCUAGUUUCACAAUUCAGCCACGAUAUAAAACAAGCGUGGCGUGCGGCGAAUUUUUUAAGCAGCGCGACUACCGUAAGCGAGUGUCGGCCUUUAAAAGCGUCUCGUCAAUGUGUCGGUUAUCAGGUAGUGCAGCUUCAGGCAGGCAGUCUGUCGCGGAAGCUGGUGGAAGCGUCACGCAACACCACGUACGCCACGACGCGACGUGCCGCGCCAAGGACGCGCCAACAACAGGCGUCGACGCUCUGCCUACGUUUCUCUUUUUUUUUGUGCACCGCGGUCGACGCGCUUCGGAUCGUAAAAUUCGAACGGUUUCGCCAUACUCAUCGCGGUGCAACGUACGAGGCGCGUGGCACCCGCGACAGAGGACGGAAAAGAAGAGGUUUCGCGUUGGAAUUCGAGCUCGCGGAAGUCGAACGGAAUCCUGCCGACGAGGUACAACCUCGCCUCCAACGUCGUUUUUGUCUCGAAAAGGUUCGCGGAACGCAGUCAAGCUGGCUGCCUCCGGCGGUACUCCCGCCGCUGCCAUCGCCGCAUCCGCGCAUCCUCCCGUACUUUGGAGCUCCCGCAGGAAACCGGGCCUGCACUUGCGGAGCAUCGAGGAGCCGAGGAUGACGGCGGAGACGGCGGCUCCUUGUGUACAAGGAGUACAAGGAGCACAGAGUGGUAUAGCGAGCCAGAGCAUGUUGCAACAGGUGCAGGAUGGAAAUGGUGGCGGCGGCGGCGGCGGCGGCGGCGGCGGCGGCGGCGGCGGUAGCGGCGGCGCUUAUUAUUCCUCGACGUCGACUUCAACGAUAUACGAUCCGGAAUACUCUCGUAUGGAAUCUUGGCUCGACGAACAUCCUGACUUCGUCAACGAUUACUUUUUAAGGAAGGUGACACGGCAAACCGUGGACAUGUGGUUAGUGUCACACGCGACGCCGACUUCGUCGUCCAGCAGCUGCGUAGAGCUUUCAAGCCCGACCCAUGCUGCGGCUGGCAACUCGACCUCCGGUCGAGGUGGUGCCGGUGGCUCAGGAGCAACGACACCCGUACGCAAGAUUUCGGCGCACGAGUUUGAGCGAGGGGGUCUUCUUAAGCCGAUCGUCAACACAAUCGACGGCACGCCGACCUUCUUGAGCGUAUCGCCAGGAGACACGGGUCAGCCGGGCGGACCACAAGCCACAGGGCCCGGUAACUCGAAUCGAACUCAAAGACGAUCGAGACACGAACUGAGGCAUCUCGACGAGAAGGAUCUUAUCUUUGAGUUGGUGAAAGACAUUUGCAACGAGCUGGACGUGAGAUCGUUGUGCCACAAAAUCCUGCAAAAUGUCAGCACGCUUCUUCACGCGGAUCGCGGCUCGUUAUUUCUCGUCCAGGGGGAGAGAAGCGGCGCAACCACCAAUGCAUCUCCUUCUCAGGAUCACGAGGCCACCGCGGACAAUUCCGAUAACGGGAAUUUGCGACGUAACAAUCAAUCUUACUCGAGGAGCAGGUGUCUAGUCUCGAAACUUUUCGACGUUUGUUCGAGAUCGACGUUGUUGGAAAUGGAAAAGAAAGAUGAAAUCAAGAUUCCCUGGGGAACUGGAAUUGUCGGAUAUGUCGCUGAGAGCGGGGAACCCGUUAAUAUACCGGACGCUUACAAGGAUUCGAGGUUUAAUCGCGAGAUUGAUGCGUUAACGGGAUACCGUACGCGUGCUUUACUGUGUAUGCCUAUUAAAGAUUGCAACGGCGACGUAAUCGGAGUGGCGCAGGUGAUCAACAAACUCGGCGGCGAAGGACAGUUCACCGCGCAAGAUGAAAAGGUUUUCGCCAGUUACUUACAGUUCUGCGGUAUCGGUUUGAGAAACGCGCAACUCUACGAGAAGAGUCAAUUGGAAGUGAAGAGAAAUCAGGUUCUACUGGAUUUGGCUAGAAUGAUUUUCGAAGAGCAGAGCACGAUUGAGCAUAUGGUUUUUAGGAUCCUCACGCAUACGCAGUCGUUGAUUCAAUGUCAACGUGUCCAGGUGCUGCUCGUGCAUAACGCCUCGAAGUGGAGUUUUUCGCGCGUCUUCGACUUCGAGGCGAACGAUCUCACUGGCGAGGAUUCCGAUUCUCGCACUAGUCCGUUCGAGAGUAGAUUUCCUAUCAACGUCGGUAUCACGGGUCACGUAGCGACAACCGGUGAAACUGUCAACAUACCGAACGCUUACGAAGAUGACAAAUUCGAUCGUCUAGUAGAUGAAGGUACCGGAUUUAAGCAUCGUACGAUACUUUGUAUGGCUAUCAAGAAUUCCUCUGGUCAAAUAAUUGGUGUUAUUCAAUUGAUCAAUAAGUUCGAUGACCUGCCUUUCACGAAGAACGAUGAAAAUUUCGUUGAGGCAUUUGCGAUAUUUUGCGGGAUGGGAAUCCAUAACACGCACAUGUAUGAGAAGGCUGUGAUAGCGAUGGCGAAACAAAGUGUGACUUUAGAAGUGCUGAGUUACCAUGCCUCGGCGUCGUUGGAGGACGCGCAGAGAUUGAGAAGUUUAAAAGUUCCGUCGUCGGCGCAUCUUCAAUUGCACGAUUUCAACUUUGACGAUAUACACAUGGAAGACAAUGAAACAUUGACCGCGUGCCUCAGAAUGUUCCUUGAUUUGGAUUUUGUCAAACGUUUUCACAUCGAUUACGAUGUACUCUGUCGUUGGUUGUUGAGUGUGAAGAAAAACUAUCGGAACGUCACGUACCACAAUUGGCGACACGCCUUUAACGUGGCUCAAAUGAUGUUCGCUAUUUUAACAGCUACCCAAUGGUGGAAGAUCUUUGGUGAGAUCGAAUGUCUCGCGCUCAUCAUCGCUUGCUUGUGUCACGAUCUAGAUCAUCGUGGGACAAAUAAUUCUUUCCAAAUUAAAGCUUCAUCGCCGCUUGCGCAAUUGUACUCAACCUCAACGAUGGAACAUCACCAUUUCGAUCAGUGCUUGAUGAUUUUGAGCAGCCAAGGCAAUCAGAUUCUGUCGAAUCUUUCGCCGGAGGAAUAUUCACGCGUGGUGAAGGUUCUCGAAGAAGCGAUACUCUCCACUGAUCUCGCCGUUUACUUCAGAAAGCGUGGCGCCUUCCUCAAUCUAGUACGUGGUGGCUACAACUGGGCGUACAGUGGUGACCGAGAACUCCUGCGCGGUAUGCUAAUGACAGUCUGCGAUCUGGCCGCUAUUACGAAACCGUGGGAGAUUGAAAAAAGAGUAGCCGAGCUUGUUAGUAGCGAAUUUUUCGAGCAGGGCGAUAUAGAGAGGCGGACGCUCAAUAUUACGCCUAUUGAUAUUAUGAACAGAGAAAAAGAAGAUGAACUGCCAAAGAUGCAAGUCGGUUUCAUCGAUUCCAUCUGCCUUCCCAUCUACGAGGCGUUUGCCCAUCUGUCGGAUAAACUGACGCCGCUCGUUGAUGGGGUCAGGGAAAAUAAGCGGCACUGGUUGGAAAUCGCCGAGACACAGUGUCAAGCGGAGAUCUGUACGAACCAUGAUAGGACGUCGACGUCGGUGUCCGACAACGAGGAGACCAGCGAACAAGCGGACCAAUAGUUGUUACAUUGAUGUCAUCGGACAUUAGAAUUUGAACGCACAAAACGCUACUGCAGCGGCUAUCCGCCAUGUCAGAAAGAGAAAAAUACGGAAUAUAGUUUAUUAUCUUUACGGGCCGAUACCCGUUUUCCUCAUCUCAAUUGUCACGGCCUGUGUCCUGCGCGAAUACGAUUCAGAGAGAGAGAGAAUAAAGAUGAGGAGAAAGAGGGACUUGAUUCUUUAAAAUGGAGCUGGCAUUUGGGUCGCAAUUUUCAACCGAUUUUCGAGGUGGAUGUCCAUUGCCUUUCCUUUACUACUGGCGUCUUAACAACGAGUCGUCAAACGAAAACGUUCCUUAAAUGAUGCUCUGCUUUAGAAAAGCAAUACUACUAUAAUUCAAGUAACAUAUAAUAGUAUUUAUUCCCCUGAGUUAUUCCCUAAGAUCUUUGAAAAAAUUCUAUCUUUUUAAAUAUUUUAUAAUUAAAAUUGUGUACUCUUAAUCGCGUAAUAAUUCCAAGAUACAUAAAACGCAAUAUACAUUUUAAAAAUUGAAAUUAUUGAUACAUCCCAUUUUAAUGCUUAAUUGGAUGGACAAUCGUACGUGUUUUUAUCCAAUAUCUUAUAAAAUAACAUAAAAAUAUACACAAGGAAAAAUGUAUAUAAUCUUGUAUGUAUCGUUCUUGAAACAGACAAUCGCAUGUCUCGGUUGGCGACUCGUUAAGAAUGAAAAUCCGUCGAAAGUUACUGUAUCCCUAAGUCUGCUCUGAAACUGUAUGGUGUGCAAUAAUUUUCGACGCGAUCGGACUCGUCGAAGGACACAACCGUACGAAAUAGCGCCUUUUAGAUUAUGUAUUUGUAUACCAAAGUGUAAAUUUAUAUAUCGAGAUCGAUCGCACGGUUACGAUCAGCCGGUAAAAUAGCCGAUUUCAAUUGAUCUGGGACGCGUGCUGAUUAAUUAACCGCGGGUGAGACGUAGUACCUGCCAGGCCUCUCAGUUUGCUUCGUCUUUUGCUUUUGGGUUUGAAGAUAUCGUAGAUUCCUCGGAUCGAUCUCGACCCCGAAUAGCCGUUUUCGUCUUCGCGUGAAGCUGUUGUGUCGCUAGAAGAAUAGACAACGCAAGAGCUAUACGUUUUUAGCAACAAAGGAUCGUCACUUUCGUCUUCAUAUUAUAUUCAUAACUCUGAAGUAGCAACAAAGUUUAUAGGCGCGGAGGUUCAGAGUUUUUUUCUUUCUCAUGCGUUCCACUACAUUUUCCUCAUUACAAUCCUCGCUACGUAAUACUUAAAAAAAAAAA
rnacentral:misc_RNA from 1 species